rnacentral:rRNA from 1 species
AUGAACGCUGGCGGCGUGCCUAAUACAUGCAAGUCGAGCGAACGGACGAGAAGCUUGCUUCUCUGAUGUUAGCGGCGGACGGGUGAGUAACACGUGGAUAACCUACCUAUAAGACUGGGAUAACUUCGGGAAACCGGAACUAAUACCGGAUAAUAUUUUGAACCGCAUGGUUCAAAAGUGAAAGACGGUCUUGCUGUCACUUAUAGAUGGAUCCGCGCUGCAUUAGCUAGUUGGUAAGGUAACGGCUUACCAAGGCAACGAUGCAUAGCCGACCUGAGAGGGUGAUCGGCCACACUGGAACUGAGACACGGUCCCGACUCCUACGGGAGGCAGCAGUAGGGAAUCUUCCGCAAUGGGCGAAAGCCUGACGGAGCAACGCCGCGUGAGUGAUGAAGGUCUUCGGAUCGUAAAACUCUGUUAUUAGGGAAGAACAUAUGUGUAAGUAACUGUGCACAUCUUGACGGUACCUAAUCAGAAAGCCACGGCUAACUACGUG